AACGAACGCUGGCGGCGUGGAUAAGACAUGCAAGUCGAACGGGACUUUUCCGAGUAGCAAUACCUGGGAAAGUUUAGUGGCGAACGGGUGCGUAACACGUGGGCAAUCUGCCGAGAAGUGGGGGAUAGCUCGCCGAAAGGCGAAUUAAUACCGCAUAUGAUCAGGGACGACAUCUUCCCAACAUCAAAGCCGGGGCAACCUGGCGCUUCUUGAUGAGCCCGCGGCCUAUCAGCUAGUUGGUGAGGUAACGGCCCACCAAGGCUAUGACGGGUAGCUGGUCUGAGAGGACGACCAGUCACACUGGAACUGAGACACGGGUCCAGACACCUACGGGUGGCAGCAGUCGAGAAUUUUUUCUCAAUGGGGGCAACCCUGAAGGAGCGACGCCGCGUGGGAGGAUGAAGGGCUUUCGGGUUGUAAACUCCUGUCAUUUGAGAACAAGUGCCAACAAGUAACUAACUGUUGGCUUGAUAGUAUCAGAAAGAGGGAA
rnacentral:rRNA from 1 species